rnacentral:tRNA from 1 species
AGCCCGGUGGUGUAGUGGCCAAGCAUCGGGGGCCCUGAACCCCUGGACCACGGUUCGAAUCCGUGCCGGGCUA